GUGGAAGCUUGAGAGCAAAAAUCAUGUUAAGUGAGAUUAUUCUGUCACAUGUGUCAACAGGAACGAAUGGGUGUGAUGGGCAGAACACUUCAGCUCUGGUUGUAGGGAGGGUCUGAUAGAUUCAGCUUCUCGGUUAUAGAUGUCCAUUGGUGUUCCUCUAUCCAUUGGGUGUCCAUUGGUUGCAUAUAUACAACACGCAAAUUUUCAUUUCUUUGGUCAUGUUGCAAGAUUGCAACUCAUCUUUUUAUAGUCCGUCUCCUGUAUGGUCAGGUUUCACAUACAGUUCAUGGAGUUUUUGAUUCAUUUUUGCUCAAGUAAAAAGAUGCCCGUGGCUGCCGGCCACAUCGUAUGAGCUUCCGUUUGCAGUAACAAGCAUUGAUGAGGAUAGGUCUCUACUCUUCCCCAACUUAGAAGCUUCCGUUUUCAGUAUGUGGUUUCACAUGUGGUUCCAUGGCACUGAUAGGUAAAACCAAUUUUAUGUCCAAUACAAAUUGGCACAGAAGAACAUGAUGAUUAGGAGGGCGGAGUUACGCUUUCGAAUUUGAUAAUUUUAACUUGGCCAAUGCUUAAUUUUGGCCGUGGUUCACAUAGACUGGUAAGACUAAUGUCCCUUUUCAUUAAUAUUGUUGCUUUCUUUAUUUUAGUGUCAUCGUUUCUAUCUAAUAUUAUUAUUUUUAAAUCUUCAUCCUCACAUUUGUUUUAGCGACUUUGUAGAAGUACGAUAUCUUAGCUAGCUUUCCAAUCUUACUUUCGUUUUGACAUACAUAUUUCUUGCGCUGCGAAUUCACUUUGUAUUAUCUUUUAUUCAGAGUACAUAUUGAUAAAUACCCCCGGUUCUUUCCAUUGCACAGUAGAGAGCAACCUUUACAUCAAACAUUUGCACAAAUUUUCAAUUACAACUUU